ACUGUAAAGAGAGAACCUCCUGUUUCAAGCCUGCAACACCUUAUUCAAUGCAAGUUGAAAUGUUUAGUUUUGAAGUAAGAAAAAAAAACAACUACCAAUCAUUCCCUGUACUAAAAUUGAUCCCACUUCUUGGUUUGCUUGGGAUUAAUGGCAGAAGCUUAAAGUCACCAUUUGUCAAGAGGGUCACCUGGCUUCUUCAGUCUGCAGAUACCUGUGAAGGUGCUUCAGCUGAAAGUUGAGAGGGAAGUCGGUGGCUCAGGAGAAGAGUGGUUGGCACCACCAAGAAGAGCCUGGAUUUGAGGAGCUGACAAAAGGAUUUUUGCUUCUCAUUACUGAAAUACAUCCACACCUGUGCGUGAUGUACUGGCUAAGCCUAGAAGCAGGAGUCCCAGCAGAUCCCUGGAGGGGAAAUACUUUUAUAAGGAUAAGGGGCUAAAGGCCAACUUUUCAAAGGCAGAAGAGAGGUUUCCAGAACAGCUGUGACACAGAGGAUCCCUCAGAGAGGCACAGAGAGCACAGAAGAUGCUUACCUUUCUCUUAUCCCAGGAUGUGAUUAAACUGUGUUGGGUGGGAAAUGUGAGGGAGCCUCAGAAAUGUCAUUUGUAGGAAAUACAGCUUGAGUCCUGGGCU